rnacentral:tRNA from 1 species
GCGCCCGUAGCUCAACUGGAUAGAGCACCGGCCUUCUAAGCCGGCGGUUACAGGAUCGAUUCCUGUCGGGCGCGCCA